AGCUCAGGAACGAACGCUGGCGGCGUGCCUAAUACAUGCAAGUCGAGCGGACAGAAGGGAGCUUGCUCCCGGAUGUUAGCGGCGGACGGGUGAGUAACACGUGGGUAACCUGCCUGUAAGACUGGGAUAACUCCGGGAAACCGGAGCUAAUACCGGAUAGUUCCUUGAACCGCAUGGUUCAAGGAUGAAAGACGGUUUCGGCUGUCACUUACAGAUGGACCCGCGGCGCAUUAGCUAGUUGGUGAGGUAACGGCUCACCAAGGCGACGAUGCGUAGCCGACCUGAGAGGGUGAUCGGCCACACUGGGACUGAGACACGGCCCAGACUCCUACGGGAGGCAGCAGUAGGGAAUCUUCCGCAAUGGACGAAAGUCUGACGGAGCAACGCCGCGUGAGUGAUGAAGGUUUUCGGAUCGUAAAGCUCUGUUGUUAGGGAAGAACAAGUGCAAGAGUAACUGCUUGCACCUUGACGGUACCUAACCAGAAAGCCACGGCUAACUACGUGCCAGCAGCCGCGGUAAUACGUAGGUGGCAAGCGUUGUCCGGAAUUAUUGGGCGUAAAGGGCUCGCAGGCGGUUUCUUAAGUCUGAUGUGAAAGCCCCCGGCUCAACCGGGGAGGGUCAUUGGAAACUGGGAAACUUGAGUGCAGAAGAGGAGAGUGGAAUUCCACGUGUAGCGGUGAAAUGCGUAGAGAUGUGGAGGAACACCAGUGGCGAAGGCGACUCUCUGGUCUGUAACUGACGCUGAGGAGCGAAAGCGUGGGGAGCGAACAGGAUUAGAUACCCUGGUAGUCCACGCCGUAAACGAUGAGUGCUAAGUGUUAGGGGGUUUCCGCCCCUUAGUGCUGCAGCUAACGCAUUAAGCACYCCCSCC
rnacentral:rRNA from 2 species